AAGUCGAGACGUCCUUUAACUCUCACGAUUUGGGGUCUGUUGUCGUUCUGUCCCUGAAGCUGCUGGGCAGUCUGUUGAUCAAUGUUCAGAGCGUCAGCGAGGAGCUGUGUGUUGAAGCCGGCGAAGAUGUUCUUGUUGUUUCCUUCUUGUUGCUGGUGCCUGCUCCUUCCUCCUUGCUGUUGCUGGUGCCUGCUCCUCUCUCGUUGCUGUUGCUGGUCCUGGUCCCAUUGACUUUGUCCUUGCUGGCCCCGACGACUCUGGCUUUGCCCGUGUUGGUUAAACUCAUCUUGUGGAUUACCAGCCAGAUAGAAUCUCUACAUACAUAACACAUCAUGCAUGUGAUCAGAAAAAACUAGCAAGCCAACAGUAAGAGUGCUAUUGUACCUCCACAAAAGAAAAUAUAUACAUAUCACAUUUGCUAAUUAAUUUACCCUGGGGUUACGGUCAAGCUGGUUUUGUUGGUUGCCGAUAUCAAGAAGAUUGACAGCAACAAGAGGUUGGUCACCGUCGUUGUAGGACCAGUAGGUGACUCCAGCAGGAAUAGCAAUCACAUCACCUUCUCUGAUGCGUUGAACCUUCUGGUGUCUGUCUAGCUGCUCGAAACUCUCUUGUCCCUGUUGGCUGUGCCGCCCUUGUUGUCUAUGACGACUUUGCUGUCCAGGGCCUUGUUGCCCUCGUUGACCACGGCCUUGUUGUUCAUACUCUUCCUGUUCUUGUUGCCCGCGGCCUUGCUGUCCAUGGCGCCCUUGCUGGCCUUGCCACUGUUGUUGACCUUGUUCUUCAUCAGAUUGCUCAGAUUCUUCAAAAGUUUCAGGACAGCCAGGGAAAACAGUUGAUAGAAAACCAUUGCCUACAGGGUAUAAAUGAAUGAUUUUAACCACAUACGUACUUGUAUUCAAAAAAUUUAUACUAAAUUUAACCAAUUGCAUUUAUACAAUACCUUGCACUAUGUAAGUGAGUUGUGGAGCAUGGGAGUAAGAAGGCAAGUGAAGGCCAUUUCUUUCUAUGGUAAUUCGUUGAACGGCAACACCAGCACAUUGGAAAUCGUCCUGGUUGUAGUCCCAGGAUUCGAUCCUACCCGCUUCAGUCUCAAUGCGGUUAUCAGGUUCACGGGCUUGGAGCUGAUCUAAUUGGCAUUCAUUUCGCUGGCUCGACUGAAAUUGUUGGUGAGCUGCUAAGCAGCUCUGGAAGAGGACAAGCAAACAGAGAGAAAAGGCGAGAGCUAUAGGCUUAGCCAUAGUGAUGAUCAGAGAGAUAGCUAGCUAGUUGUGGUGAAGCGGCGAGUAGAAGGUGUGGUAUUUAUAGGAUAGAGAAGGUGAAGAGACAAAAAUAAGUACAAUAACAUUAAAGAUCUGAAGCCGUUCUUCUCUUUGCAUGGCAAUAGCAAUUUACAUUCUUCCACCUCAUUCCUUCCAGGGCAGGUGGCUCAUGACUUCAGAGAAGAUACAAAGUGCUAUGAAUAAGGUGGCAACCAGAAGCGGUUUGCAAUUGUCUGCAAGUGAAGCAAAAUUUUACACCCUUGAACCUGGUCCCAAUACAGGGAAAAAUUAAUGAGAGAAGUCAGAUAAGUUCGUUCUAAAUUUGGUAAAAUGAUAUUACAUCAGCCCCAACCUGAUGAACAUCUUCUAUGAUCCAGACAAGGUUCAAAAAUGUAAGAUCUCAUCGGAAAAAAAAUGUAUGUUAGAUAAGUACUGAAUGAUGUGUCAGGAACCUCAAGACAUUUUUCUAUAUGCAAUUUAUCAUUGUUUCACAUUCUUACAGCUCAUUUCUUUGACCAGGUGGCUUAUGGCUUCAGAGAAGACUCAAAGUGGCUUGAACAAUGUGUCAACCAGGUGGGAAUGACAUGAUUUUCAAAUGCAGCAAAGAUUUACUGCCGUGAAUAAUGCAAAAUUAAUUAUACAAACAAGAUCUAUAGCUGUUCAAUGCAUAGUUUGGAAAAGUAAAAUCAUACCAACACCAACCUGAUAAACUCAUCUAUGAUGCAUGCAUGGUGAAAAAUUAUAACAUUUUCAUCUUUCCUACAGUAAUCAGCAUAGUCUAUCCUUUCAUGAAUCAAAAUUAAUACUUCAAGUCUAUGCACAUAAAAUCUUACUAAAAAUAAUGCAGUUUAGUGGUUUAUAUAAGUUUCUUUGCAAACAAAUCUGAACUCCAUCACUAUUCUUGAAACUACUGUGACCCAUCAACGUUAUUACCUCAGCUAUCAACCAUUCUCAUGUCAUAAAGAUUCAGAAUUUGCAAUAUUACUCCUAGAAGUUCUCUGUUCAUCUACAGAAAGGAGUCUCGUAGAAGCUACUGUUGUGAUAGAAGCUAGGAUAGCUAAUGCUGCAAAAUUGAUCUCCGAGAAGCUAUUGUUGUUAAAAUCCCAUCUCAUAAAAUUUUCUCCUGUUUCAAAAAUUAAAAAAUAUAAAAAAUUGUCUCCCUUUGAUUAAAGCACCCUGAACACCAGAAAUGGUGUCACUUAAAACCUCUCUCAAUCUCCAAGCUAACACUUUUGCGAUAAUUUCAUACAAGCUUGAUAAUCAAGCUGUGGACUUCUGUAGAUGAACAGAGAACUUCAAGGAGAACUACCACUUUUGGACUAAUUUUACAACCAAGACUUUACUUCUACUACUUUGUUAUAAAAGAUUGCAAGGCAUCAAUAGACGAUAUAUAGUUGAUAAGACUGGAUGCAAUCCACUCAAAUGCAUUUCAAAAAACUAUAUUCAAUGAGUAAUUUGAGUUGUUUUUUUCUUCCAACUCAAAAACUUGAACAAACCUCGAUUCUAAUACUCUAAACAAAGAAUUUAACCCGGAAUCGAAAGAUCAAUACUGAAAAACAUAAUCUGAUACAUAAACAUGUGUUAUCAUUUGUAAAACAUCAGAUACAACCUAUUUGCACAAAAUGGGUUACACAUCUCUAACAAAGGCUUAGACUUUAGAUAUCAAAAGAAUUCCAAUUUGUCCUCUUCUACACAAUUCUAACAAAUGCUCAAGUCCUUUAAGGCCUUGUAUUUAGAUGCUAAGAAGAGUAAAAAAUGGGCCUAUUGGCAGGAUUUAAAUUGAAAAUCUUGAUUUAAAAAUGGUUGAAUUCCAGAUCAGUCUACAGAGAAUCUAGUAAUUCUAUGCUUCAAAAACUCAUUUGCCCCUCUUUAAAUCCUCACAAUGUGGGGUUGAUUAGCUUCCUUUAACCAAGAGUAACAUGGUUCUAUGAAAAACAAGCAUUAAUGAAUCAAACAGAGAUCACAACACAAUAACAAAUAGAUCAAACUUUGAAAUCAACUAAUAUUAGACUCCCAAAUUCCAAGUUCAAGUAGGCUGUUGUUGAAUCACGCGUUACCUCGCGAAGCGAGUCUCGCUUCCCACGACGUUGCAUUUCUUGCUCGUCGGCGUAUGACGCCGGAGAAAACGAUUCGGCGACCACGUCUUCCAUUUUUCCCUUCAUUUUCUGAUCCUGGUUUGCUCUCUGGUUUUCUACCUAUUGUGUUGGGCUUUAUUACAUACUUUUGGGUCCUUUUUCCUUUUAUUUUUCUUUUUCUUUCAUUUUAAAAGUCGAAUAGUUUCCUAAUAUUUCGAAAAAUUAAAAGUCGAGUACCUCACAGUAUCUAGUUUUUAUUUGAUAAAUCAGUAUCUAGUUUUUUUUUUUUAAGAAAGAGCUUCUAGUUUUCAUAUUCAUUUGAUAAAUAAAAGUAAUUUUAACCUCUCGUGUGCAUUUAAGUUGUCUAUUAUGGUGAGAAAAGUUUCCUAAAAGAAAACUAUGGUGAGAAAAACAAGAGCAUUCGAAAUGAGAAGAACAUGAAGGUGGAUUUGAGAGGAGCCAAAACGCGAAUCAAAGGAAGAAGAAAGAGAUUUCAUUAGAAAAAAGUGUAACGCGAAUCAAAGGAAGAAGAAAGAGAUUUCAUUAGAAAAGAGUGUUUGAGACUACAAGUAGAGUAGCUAUUUAUUAACUUGUGGCAUUAGAUCUCUCUCCUAGUACCACGAGACCCAUAUAAAAGGCUACUUUUAUUGAUUAUCUACCUCUUAGCUUAGCAAGUACCACAUUAACACUACAUGCCGCUAAAUUUUUCAUUUGCUCCCAUCAGUAUCUCUAGAACUGUGAGGACCUUGAUGAGCUCAAAGCAAGAGUCUCCUGCCUGUUAUACUUGAGGUCCUUGCCUGCUCGCGGUCCAUCUGGUAGGCGUUGGCGAGGACCACGUCGGGGAGUGAUCGCAAGACGGAGGUCCUGCCAGCUAGAGUGUUGACCAUGGCAUUGUCAUUGGUCUUGAAGGCAAUGUACUCGUACCCGUUGCUCUGGGCUUUUUGCAACACGGCGUGGUUUUGCGGCACGAUGAAGAGUUGUCCCUGGCGGACCUGGUCGUCCAAGAUGGUCUCACCGUUGUCGUUCACCACCUGAACCCUGGCGCUACCUCUGAUGACAUAGAUGAUCUCAUGAGCAUUCAAGUUCCAGCGGGGGCUGUGGAUAGCAUUCUGCAUGUACCAUUACCAGAUAAAUUUCAGGAUUAAUUGAUCAAUAGGUAACUAAAUUUAAUUAUUAGAAACAUACAUGCUAGAAUACUCACGUUGUAGAAGAAACCUCUCUCAGCGCUGAGACGGAGGUGCCUGAGAAUAGGCAUGCUGAAGCUGUUGAGGGUGCUGAUGCGACCGGCUUGUGGGCUGAAGACGUCAGCCAUGGAAGGCUUGCCGAUGUUCUGCUUGAUCUGCAUGUGGCAGAAUAC
rnacentral:lncRNA from 1 species